rnacentral:rRNA from 1 species
UACAGAGGUCUCAAGCGUUGUUCGGAUUCAUUGGGCGUAAAGGGUGCGUAGGCGGCGCGGUAAGUCGGGUGUGAAAUCUCGGGGCUUAACUCCGAAACUGCAUUCGAUACUGCCGUGCUUGAGGACUGGAGAGGAGACUGGAAUUUACGGUGUAGCGGUGAAAUGCGUAGAUAUCGUAAGGAAGACCAGUGGCGAAGGCGGAUCUCUGGACAGUUCCUGACGCUGAGGCGCGAAAGCGUGGGUAGCAAACGGG